UACGUAGGGGGCGAGCGUUGUCCGAAGUUACUGGGCGUAAAGAGCGUGUAGGCGGUCCGGUAAGUCCGCUGUGAAAGUCGGGGGCUCAACCCUCGAAUGCCGGUGGAUACUGUCGGGCUAGAGUGCGGAAGAGGCGAGUGGAAUUCCUGGUGUAGCGGUGAAAUGCGCAGAUAUCAGGAGGAACACCUAUUGCGAAGGCAGCUCGCUGGGACGUAACUGACGCUGAGACGCGAAAGCGUGGGGAGCAAACAGG
rnacentral:rRNA from 1 species